UACGUAGGGGGCAAGCGUUGUCCGGAUUUAUUGGGCGUAAAGAGCGUGUAGGCGGUUAGGUAGGUCCGUUGUGAAAACUCGAGGCUCAACCUCGAGAUGUCGAUGGAAACCGUCUGGCUAGAGUCCGGAAGAGGAGUGUGGAAUUCCUGGUGUAGCGGUGAAAUGCGCAGAUAUCAGGAAGAACACCUAUGGCGAAGGCAGCACUCUGGGACGGUACUGACGCUGAGACGCGAAAGCGUGGGGAGCGAACAGG
rnacentral:rRNA from 1 species